rnacentral:lncRNA from 1 species
CCCCUCUCCUCGCGCCCCUCGCCACGCGCCCCUUACCAUAUGGGCCCCCCCCCGUCCUCUUGCCCCCCGCCUCGCGCCCCUCACCACGCGCGCCCUCUCCUCGCGCCUCUUUCCUCGCGCCCCUCGCCACGCGCGCCCUCUCCUCGCGCCUCUUUCCUCGCGCCCCUCGCCACGCGCGCCCUCUCCUCGCGCCUCUUUCCUCGCGCCCCUCGCCACGCGCGCCGCCCCGCCCCCCCGCCUCGUGGCCCCCUCCUCGCGCCUCUUUCCUCGCGCCGCCUCGCCGCGCCCCCCCCCCUUCGCCUCGCGCCCCUUACCCUAUGGCCCCUCUCCUCGUGCCUCUUUCCUCGCGCCCCUCGCCACGCGCCCCUUACCAUAUGGGCCCCCCCCCCCCGUCCUCGCGCCCCCCGUCCUCGCGCCCCUCUCCUCGCGCCCCUCGCCACGCGCCCCCUCGCCUCGCGCGCCCUCGCCUCGCGCCCCCCGACGGUCCCGGAAGGUCCAGGUGCAGCAUCAGGGCGCCGGGGCAGAAGGACCCCGACCCCCCCCGGGAGCCCCCCGGGUUACGGGGGCCGGAGGAGGACCCCGACCCCCCACCUCCAGGGGACCGACACGCCAGCUAGGCCAAACUCAACUCAAGACUACCGGAGAGGAAUUGAGGAAUUCUUCUGCCGAGUAUCAUCCCAAAGCAGUGCCUUGAUUCACCAUUCAGGAGAGCAGUGUUCACGUGUUCUAUUCAUCACAGAAGAGAAAAGCCCCCUUCAGUCUCCAGAAAGUGAUGAAUGAAAAGGACUUUCAAAGCCGAGUCGUUUAUUUCAGGUACGUUUUAUAGACGUAUUUUAAGAUGUAGCCUCAAUUCUUUGAUCUUUAAAAUAGUCUAAGCAUUUGGGGGGUUACCUCUCUCCCCCACAUGCCGUGACUGUUUUGAAAUUAGAAUUCAAUGAUCUUGAAAGAACCACCAAAUUUACACUGGGUCAGAAAGACUUGCUUAAGAAACAGCUGGUCCUUUCGCCUAUCUCAUAGUGACCUUUUCCAUUUAAAUACAAUUUUAUUUAAACGGAAGCAAAACCAGGCCGUUCAGACUGAUGUUUGGAAGACAUUUUCCUCUCGUUCUUCUGUUUCAAGAUGUGGGUACCACACCUCAUCCGGUAAAGGGGAGAACUCAGUGAUUAAAACCAGUGUGUUUAGGAUGUCAGUUUUGUUUACAACUCAGAGUUCCUCUCAGGGACGUGACCGAUGUGAUAGUCCAUCCCAGAAAGUCUGUCAGUUGAUUGUAUUUAUUGAGGUUUUACAGUGUGCAGAGCACUGUACUUAGCACUUUGAAGAGUACAAUAUAACAAUAAACGGACAUAUUCCUUGCCCAUAACGAGCUUAUUAUAGAGUUUGUCCCCUCAGACUCACUCUGGCUCACACCGAAGACAAAUUGAGCCAAUUAUACUUGCUGCAGUCAGCCAAGAGAACAAGUAACCACUAUCAAAAUCCAUAUUUCCAAGUAAUGAUAUCUUAGAUGCUCAUUUCCAGGGUGUGUGUACGUGUGUAGGGGCUGGGGGUGGUAAGAGCUUGUGCUAAUAUGACUUCUUUUUAUCAAAAGGUGGCACUUGGAUUCAGGACAAAUGAUU